UUUCAAUGCUGUUGACUGUCUGCGUGAUAACCUCUCAUGUUCACAAUGCCAACAAAGCGCUGUGCUGAUGCGAAAGCUUCCUCUGGAGUGCCCGAAAAGAAGAGGAAGAUGAUGCUGAUCAGCGAAAAAGACCCAGCAGGAAAGACUCGGCAUCGCCAGGAACGAUGCCAGGCAAACCGCCUGCCAGAGGACCAAGCAUAUCCUAUCCAGCUCCCAAGUGCCUUUGCCUAGUAGGUCCAGGUCCUCGUCUUCCAAUCCUUUUUUGGGAACCCGCUUGGCCACCCUGGUACUUGGUGUCCGUGUCGACCUCCUGAGCUGCCCAGCCGGAUGCCUCGCUUCUGGUGGCCUGGACGGCCACCAGACAGACUUUGAUUGGGGUUACAUUAUCUUGUUAUUGCUUAUGAUAUUGCAUUUUAAUAGUCUAUGAAAAUGUACAGCAUUUUUGCAAACCCUUGUAUUCACACACGCCAUGACAUUCUUCUUCUUUUUCUUUCGGCUUGUCCCGUUAGGGGUUGCCACAGCGUGUCAUCUUUUUCCAGGUAUUCCCAUCUCGUGCAUCUUCCUCUCUAACACCCACUGUCCUCAUAUCCUCCCACUGUUUCCACAGUUCUGAACAUCGCCUUUGUUGUUAAAAAUGGGGACUAGCACACUUUUCCUCCAUUCUUCUGGCAUCUUCACUCUGGCUGGUAUUCUAUUGAACAAGUUGGUCAAAAACUCCACAUCCACCUCACCAAAUUGCUUUCAUACUUCUACCGGUAUGUCAUUGGGUCCAACUGUCUUUCCAUUUUUCAUUCUGUACAAUGCCUUUUUGACUUUUCCCUUACUAAUCAUUGCCACUUCCCGGUCAUUCACUCUCACCUCUUCUACUCUACCUUCUCUCCCAUUUUCGUCAUUCAUUAACUUCUCAAGGAACUCUUUCCAUCUACUUAGCACACUACUUGCACCAGUCAACAUAUCUUCAUCACUAUCCUUAAUCACCUUUACUUGCUGCACUUCCUUCCGAUUAUAUACAGUAAUACCAUCCUCCAGAUGCUAUAUUGUGCCUGUUAUGUUCUUCCUUUAUCUCUCCCCAUGCCUUUUCUUUCAUCCUGCUCUGUUUGUGAUCCACUUAA